ACGGGCGUUCAUCUACGAAGAACGAAAUGUGGCCAUAGCGAUGACCUUGAGGUAGUAGAGAAUUUCGAUAUUGACGUUUACAAAGCCUUUUCCUAUUGGUUCUCCUCACCGCUUGUCACUCAGGACGUCAAAAGUGUCAAAUAUCUCGCCGUUAUAAUUUUCAUCAUUACAAGUGUUUGCGUUGAUUAAUUUCCGUACCUUUAUUUCUCCGUAAUAAUUGUGAUAUUCAGUGCUACUUGGCAUUUUGAUCUUCAAAAUGCUUCGCAAGUGCUGUAUACCCGGCUGUGAUAGCAGUAAUAAACGAAAAGACGUUAUGCUGCACAAAAUGCCAGCAGCCAGUGAAAAAGUGACAAUGUGGUGUAUAAAUCAGCAGUUUUCAACAUGUUGGAAAGUUUGACAUCAAAUGGAAUCGGCAAACUGUACGUUUGCCACAAACACUUCGAAGCCAGAUAUGUCUCUUCGAAGUUGCGCUUACGGCCUAACACGUGUCCAACAUUAUUUACCUACUGAAGAAGAAAUCACCACGGGACCACCGGCUCACCCUUCGGUUGAACGAGGUAGGUAGUACUUAUACAUCGUAUGUAACAUCGCACGUGGUAUAUACGCCGCAUUUUUAAAAUUGAAUCAAAUUCAUGUCCAGUCAGUGUAUUUAUAAAAUGUUUCCAAUAGGAUAAGAUUGCGUUAAUUGAGUGGUGUUUUGGCCUAGUGGAGAGUGUUCCAGGUUCAAAUUCUAGAGAGAACUUUCAUGGGUCUCAUAGUCAUGGAUAUUGAUUCCUGAGUAAUGGGUGUUUCCUAUGUAUUUCAGUAGUACUAUUUUUUUAAUGUCAAGUUAUUAUUGUCUAAGUACCUACCACAAAGGCCUUAAUUGAGCUUAGCUGAUUGUGUAGCCUAGUAUGUAAUAUUCAGGCAGAAUAAUAUUUAGGUAAUUUGCUUUGGUGUAAAUAAUUUUGAAUAAAUGGUAUAUAUUUCUAUAGUCAAAUUGUUGUAUUAUCACAAUAUACAAUUGGGCCUUUUUUACCAGGAUUCAUUGAACUUGAAAUGAGGAACUCUGACCACUCGUAUGCAAGGAGAUGUCAUAUUGACCACACUUAUGCCAUGAGCGCACCAACAAAUAAUUCAGAUGAUGCUGCUGUUUUACCGCCAUACAUCACAACUGGAGCUGAUUCAGGUGGAGUUACACUGGAACAUAUUACAUCGAGUGUAGAACUGUCUAUUGAGCCAUCAUCCUGUCUUAAUUCAGAGCGCGUCCAAUCCAGCUCAAGUCAAGCCUGCUCGUCGCGGCUGUGAAGUCAUCGUUUGAGCCAACUUCACCACAAACAGUGGUGGACUCAUCAAAGUCUAAUGUGGCUCAGGCUUGCGUCACAACUCCGGGGCCAUCCGUCAAUUACAAUGACCUUCCUAAAG
rnacentral:lncRNA from 1 species